GGAGAAUCAAGCUGUGAUUUGGUUGUCCUCAAGAUUGGUGACCAGUGGUCACUCCUCCAUAAGAUGAGUCGUAGCAUGACAUGAGAAAGCAAAAUAGUAAACAAAGACCAGAAGUCACCGUUUCUAAUGUCAGGUUGCAAAGUCACUUAUGGCGAUGGUACAAUGCUGAUGAGUCUCUCUGUACCUACC